GCAGUUAGCAGAAGAGCCAGUGCCACAGGCUGGGCAGGAGCUGAGGGUGUGGCCUCCAGGGGCCCGGGAGCCCUGCACCGUGAGGCCAGCCCAGGUGGAGCCACUACUGCGGCUCUGCCUCCAGCAGGGACAGGUGGCUGCCCCACCGCCCUCAUCCUGCCCCCCAGCCCCAGUAGAGCCCUGACUGGGGGCCAGCCCCAAGCUUCUCUUUCCUUACCUCCUCCCUGCAGCUGUGUGAGCCGCUCCCAUCCCUGGCAGAGUCUAGAGCCUUGGCCCAGCUGUCCCUGAGCCGACUCAGCCCUGAGCACAGGCGGCUGCAGAGCCCUGCACAGUACCAGGUGGUGCUGUCCGAGAGGCUGCAGGCCCUGGUGAACAGUCUGUGUGCGGGGCAGUCCCCCUGAGAGUCGGAGCGGGGCUGACUGGAAACAACACGAAUCACUCACUUUUCCCCACA
rnacentral:sRNA from 1 species